rnacentral:rRNA from 1 species
AGAAUCAACGCUGGCGGCGUGCCUAACACAUGCAAGUCGCACGAGAAAGGGACUUCGGUCCUGAGUAAAGUGGCGCACGGGUGAGUAACACGUGAAUCAUCUACCUCCGAGUGGGGAAUAACCUAGAGAAAUCUGGGCUAAUACCGCAUAACACUUACGAGUCAAAGCCGCAAGGCGCUUGGAGAGGAGUUCGCGGCCGAUUAGCUAGUUGGCGGGGUAAUGGCCCACCAAGGCGAUGAUCGGUAUCCGGCCUGAGAGGGCGCACGGACACACUGGAACUGAAACACGGUCCAGACUCCUACGGGAGGCAGCAGUGGGGAAUUUUGCGCAAUGGGGGAAACCCUGACGCAGCAACGCCGCGUGGAGGAUGAAGUAUCUUGGUACGUAAACUCCUUUCGAUGGGGAAGAUAAUGACGGUACCCAUAGAAGAAGCCCCGGCUAACUUCGCGCCAGCAGCCGC